UAAACAACUCUCGGCAACGAAUAUCUCGACUCUCGCAUCGAAGAAGAACAUAGCGAAAUGCGAUACUACUUGUGUGAAUUGCAGAAUCUUGUGAACCAUUGAGUCUUUGAACGCAAGUUAAGCCAAAAACCAUUAGGCCGAGGGCACGUCUGCAUGUGGGUUACAC
rnacentral:rRNA from 1 species